rnacentral:rRNA from 1 species
GACGAACGCUGGCGGCGUGCUUAACACAUGCAAGUCGAACGGAAAGGCCCUGCAUUUGUGGGGUGCUCGAGUGGCGAACGGGUGAGUAACACGUGAGUACCCUGCCCUUUACUUUGGGAUAACUUCAGGAAACUGGGGCUAAUACCGGAUAGGAGCUCCUGCUGCAUGGUGGGGGUUGGAAAGUUUCGGCGGAUGGGGAUGGACUCGCGGCUUAUCAGCUUGUUGGUGGGGUAGUGGCUUACCAAGGCUUUGACCGGUAGCCGGCCUGGGAGGGUGACCGGCCACAGUGGGACUGAGAUACGGCCCAGACUCCUACGGGAGGCAGCAGUGGGGAAUAUUGCACAAUGGGCGGAAGCCUGAUGCAGCAACGCCGCGUGCGGGAUGACGGCCUUCGGGUUGUAAACCGCUUUCGCCUGUGACGAAGCGUGAGUGACGGUAAUGGGUAAAGAAGCACCGGCUAACUACGUG